UAGUUUGUCCUGAAUAUUGUAUGUGG
rnacentral:piRNA from 2 species